CGGAGAAGUUGUUUUUAUACCGUUUAAUACCGGUGGACAUUGGUUGUUGCUCGCAAUCAAUCCUAUCCGAGAAAUUGUGUAUUAUCUUGACUCGUUAGGAAAUGAUUGGACAACAUACCCGGAUAUGAAGGUCCUAAUUGACACCGUCCUACAAGCUUUUCGGGCCCAACGAGAUAUCCAAACCUCAAGGAGGGGCGCCAACUCCAUUACAUGGAUUAAAGUGGCGUGUCCUCAACAACGUAAUCAAAUAGAUUACGGGUAUUUCAUGUUGAGGUUUAUGCGAGAUACUCUUGCUUUGGGCCGAUUAAAGAUUCCCAC